CUGAUAUGGACAUGCUAACCAUGGAUACGACCUUUGGUACCCUCAAUUUUAUAAUAUUUGACAAGAUUUAUAAUCAGGUGAAUUCAAGUAGUAAUUGUUUUCAUUGUCAUAUUUAUGAAGAGGCGGAGCUACUACUAUCUUGUCUCGUUUUAUUACGUAGGCAUCUUGUCGAGCUUUUCAAGUCCAAGGUCAAGAUGAGAUACGAUGGAGGCGAACGGGAGGGCCAACAAGAAUCAAGCAUUCAUACAGCUGAGAGGAAAGGAUUUCAAGUGUACUUUCCAACAAAUCAAACGGCACAUGAUUCGGAGCUUGCUAGAGAAAGAUAUCACGAAUUAAAGUUGAAUCCGAUUCGGGUCCGAGCUGCCAGGAGACCCGAAUUUGUUUUAAUCACCCAAGCCGCAUCCGGACUCCAAAUCAAGCAAACAAGUACUUGUUGGAAAGUUAAUUACAAGACCUUUCCAACGGAUCUGGCCCAUCAAGAGAUUCGACUCGUGCUGACCGUGGCGGACAAAACAAGUUGACGGAUCUGUUUUUCUGUUUCCAAGUUGUAGUUAGGAAAGUUAGAGAUAGAGUUGGAUUUCGGCCUCCUUGCUCAAGGUGGACGAAAAUAUCUCUCCCUCCUCCUUUAUAUACCCCAUGAGCCCCCUAAGGAGCCUUGGGUUUUGAUUAGAUAAAGUUUAGCCAUCUUUGCUACUUUCGGGUAAUUGCGCGUGUCGGUUAGAUCACCUGUUUUACCGUCGUCAAGACUGCAACUUAUCGUCUCGUUGAGACAUUGGUUUGAUAUAGUAUACUCGCAAUUUAAUAUUGCAUCCGCUAUUUAUCUUUUCUUGCUUGUUCUUCGAUUGCUUGCAGAAACAAAGACCUUCGUGGUCAGGUUGAUCGUGCCCCCGCGUGAUCAAUAACCCUCUGGAGUUGGUGUAUCGAUUGCUAAGGCGCUGCCUCCUAGGCCGUAGUCGAAUCGUCAACGUCACCUCCUACCCAAAUCGAGAGUUAUCAAUCUCAUUGAAAGAUCGGGCCACCCCCACCCACAUCAGACUCUAAUUUGCCAGAAUUAUAUGUCCUAGUGAGGGACCAUGCCUAGCGAGUCCGUCGAAGUGGUCUAGUCUUGUUUCGCUUCAAUGAGUAGCUUUGUUUGGUGUGCUCAUCCUAUUACCUCAAAUGGACACGUUCCGGAUCAAAGUUUAGCACCGACAACAAUUUGCCUGAAUUGUCCGUACUAGGGAGGGACCUUGCCUAGCUAGUCCGUAUAAGUGCUCAAGUCCUGUUUCGCUUCUAUGAGUAGCUUUGUUUGGUGUGCUCAUCCUAGUACCUCAAAUGGUCACAUUCCGGCUCAAAGUGUUUGCACCGACUCUAAUUUGGCCGAAUUGUCCGUCCUAGUGAGGGACCAUGCCUAGCGAGGCCGCACAAGUGGUCUAGUCUUGUUUCGCUUCGAUGAGUACCUAAGUUUGUUGUGCUCAUCCUAGUACCUCAAAUGGACACGUUCGGGAUAAAAGUUUAGCACCGACGCUAAUUUGCGCGGAUUGUCCGUCCUAUCGAGUGACCAUGCCAAGCGAGGCCGUACAAGUCGUCUAGUCUUGUUUCACUUGGAUGAGUAGCUUCGUUUGGUGUGCUCAUCCUAGUACCUCAAAUGGCACGUUCCGGAUCAAAGUUUAGCACCGACUCCGAUUUGGCCGGAUUGUCCGUCCUAGUGAGGGACCAUGCCUAGCGAGUCCUUACAAGUGGUCUAGUCUUGUUUCGCUUCGAUGAGUAGCUUUCUUUGGUGUGCUCAUCUUAUAACGCCAAACGGACCCGUUCCGGAUCAAAGUCUAGCACCGACUCCGAUUUCGCCGGAUUGUCCGUCCUAGUGAGGGACCAUGCCUAGCGAGUCCGUACAAGUGGUCUAGUCUUCUUUCGCUUCGAUGAGUAGCUUUGUUCAGUGUCCUCAUCUUAUAACGCCAAACGGACCCGUUCCGGAUAAAAGUUUAGCACCGACUCCGAUUUGGCCGGAUUGUCCAUCCUAGUGAGGGACCAUGCAUAGCGAGUCCCUACAUGUGGUCUAGUCUUGUUUCGCUUCGAUGAGUAGCUUUCUUUGGUGUGCUUAUCUUAUAACGCCAGUCGGACCCGUUCCGGAUCAAAAUUUAGCACCGACUCAGAUUUGGCCGGAUUAUCUGUCCUAGUGAGGGACCAUGCCUGGCAUGUCCGUACAAGUGGUCUAGUCUUGUUUCGCUUCUAUGAGUAGCUUGGUUUGGUGUGCUCAUCCUAGUACCUCAAAUGGCCACCUUCCGGAUCAAGGUGUUUGCAUCGACUCUAAAUUGGCCGAAUUGUCCGUCCUAGUGAGGGACCAUGCCAAGCGAGGCCGUACCAGUGGUCAAGUCUUGUUUCGUUUCGAUGAGUAGCUUCGUUUGGUGUGCUCAUCCUAGUACCUCAAAUGGCACGUUCCGGAUCAAACUUUAGGACCGACUCCGAUUUGGCCGGAUUGUCCGUCCUAGUGAGGGACCAUGCCUAGCGAGUCCGUACAAGUGGUCUAAUCUUGUUUCGUUUCGAUGAGUAGCUUUGUUUGGUGUGCUCAUCCUACUACCUCAAAUGGACACGUUCCGGAUCAAAAUUUAGGACUGACUCUAAUUUGCUCGAAUUGUACGUACUAGUGAGGGACCUUGCCUAGCGAGUCCGUAUAAGUGGUCUAAUCUUGUUUCACUUCUAUGAGUAGCUUUGUUUGGUGUGCUGAUCCUUGUUCCUCAAAUGGACAUAUUCCGGAUGAAAGUGUUUGCAUCGACUCUAAUUUUGCCAAAUUGUCCGUCCUAGUGAGGGACCAUGCCUAGCGAGGCCGUACAAGUGGUCUAGUCUUGUUUCGCUUCGAUGAGUAGCUACGUUUUUUGUGCUCAUCCUAGUACCUCAAAUGGCACGUUCCGGAUCAAAGUUUUGCACCGACUCCGAUUUGACCGGAUUGUCCGUCCUUGUGAGGGACCAUGCCUAGCGAGUCCGUACAAGUGGUCUAGUCUUGUUUCGCUUCGAUGAGUAGCUUUCUUUGGUGUGCUCAUCUUAUAACGCCAAACGGACCCGUUCCGGAUCAAAGUUUAGCACCGACUCCGAUUUGGCCGAAUUGUCCGUCCUAGUGAGGCACCAUGCCUAGCAAGUCCUUACAAGUGGUCUAGUCCUGUUUCGCAUCGAUGAGUAGCUUUGUUUGGUGUGCUCAUCCUAUAACGCCAAACGGAUCCGUUCCAGAUCAAAGUUUAGCACCGACUCCGAUUUGGCUGGAUUGUCCGUCCUAGUGAAGAAGGACCAUGCUUAGCGAGUUCGUACAACUGGUCUAGUCUUGUUUCGCUUCUAUGAGUAGCUUUGUUUGGUGUGCUCAUCCUAGCACCUCAAAUGGACACAUUCCGGAUCAAAGUGUUUGCAUCGACUCUAAAUCGGCCGAAUUGUCCGUCCUAGUGAGUGAUAGCCUCGAGGGUGUCCCGAUCUUUUGAUGAGAUACCUAAUUAUCAAUUUGGUAGGAGGUGACGUUGACGAUCCGACUACAACCUAGGAGGCAGUGCCUUAGGGAUCGAUACACCAACUCCAGAAGGUUAUUGAUCCCGCGAGGGCACGAUCAACCUGACCACGAAGGUCUUUGUUUCUGCAAGCAAUCGAAGAACAAGCUAGAACAAGAUGAAAAGCAAUCUGAAAUUGCGAAUAGGAGAUAUGAAGGUUCACGAACCUGAAUACUCAAUAUAGUUGGAGUCUUGAUGACGGUAAAACAGGUGGUCUAACCGACACACGCGAUUACACGAAAGUAGCAAAGGCUAAACUUUAUCUAAUCAAAAUCCAAGGCUACUUAGGGGGGCUCAUGGGGUAUAUAAAGGAGGAGGGAGAUAUAUUUUCGUCCACCUUGAGUAAGGAGGCCGAAAUCCAACUCUAUCGCUAACUUUCCUAACAAAGUACAACUCUUUAGGAAACAGAAAAACAGAUCCGUCAGCUUGUUUUGUCCGGCACGGUCAGCAGGAGUCGAAUCUCUUGAUGGAGCCAGAUCCGUUGGAAAGUUCUUGUAAUUACCUUUCCAACAAGUACUUGUUUUCUUCAUUUGGACUCCGGAUGCGGCCUGGGUGAUUAAAACAAAUUCGGGUCUGCUGACAGCUCGGACCCGAAUCGGAUUCAACUUUAAUUCGUGACAUCUUUCUCUAGCAAGCUCCGAAUCAUGUUACGUUUGAUUUCUUGGAAAGUAGACUUGAUAGGCUUCACUUUGAAUCUCCCUUUGCAGGCUAUAACACUUCAUCUUCACUUUGGACUUGUAAAGUUCAAUAAGAUGCCUACCUAAUAAGAUUACACAAGAUAUUAGCUCCGCCUCUUUGCAAGUAACAUAUUGAAAACAUUUUGUAAUUGAAUUCACCUGAUUAUAAUUGUUAUUAGAUACACCAAAAAUUAGGGUUCUAAUGGUCAUAUCCAUGGUUAGCAUGUCCAUAUCAUCCUCCCUUUCUUAAAAGGAAAGCCGUCCUCGGCGUCGUUUAUGCUGAAAAUAUGCUAACAAAAGAGACAAGGUAUGCGCAUGGUAUAUAUGUACAUAUCGUUAUUUUUAACUCCACUCCCAUGUUGCACAAUUAAUGUUUUAUAACACAAUCUCAUGAGAUAAUUAGUCAAACAAUCAUCAUGAAUAUCAUUCCAGCAAGAAGAUUGACAAUGUGUUUUGCAUAUAUAAGUGAAACAAUAUCUUGUAUUUGGUUUGCACCGCUCACCAUUAUACCAUCCCAGCACUGGAGAAUAAUAAUUAAUGUUACCCAAAUUUAUUUUCUCUCAAGAAAGGAAAAUUAUCACAAGUAAUGCAAAUUUCAUCCAACAAAAAGUUAUUGUUCACAUCAUGUUCUCCAAUGAAAUGAAUAGCGUAUCCAUGAGCAUUAGCAAAAGAAUAGCCUAUCCUAGUGAGGGACCAUGCCUAGCAACUCCGUACUAGUGGUCUAGUCUUGUUUCGCUUCGAUCAGUAGCUCUGUUUGGUGUGCUCAUCCCAGUACCUCAAAUGGACAUGUUCCGGAUCGAAGUUUAGCACCGACUCCGAUUUGGCCGAAUUGUCCGUCAUAGUGAGGGACCAUGCCAAGCGAGGCCGUACAAGUGGUCUGGUCUUGUUUCGCUUUGAUGAGUAGCUUCGUUUCGUGUGCUCAUCCUUGUACCUCAAAUGGCAUGUUCCGGAUCAAAGUUUAGCACCGACUCCGAUUUGGCCGGAUUGUCCGUCCUAGUGAGGGACCAUGCCUAGCGACUCCGUACAAGUGGUCUAGUCUUGUUUCGCUUCAAUGAGUAGCUUUCUUUGGUGUGCUCAUCUUAUAACGCCAAACGGACCCGUUUCAGAUCAAAGUUUAGCACCGACUCUGAUUUGGCCGAAUUGUCCGUCCUAGUGAGGGACCAUGCCUAGCGAGUCCGUACAAGUGGUCUAUUCUUGUUUCGCUCCGAUGAGUAGCUUUCUUUGGUGUGCUCAUCUUAUAACGCCAAACGGACCCGUUCCGGAUCAAAGUUUAGCACCGACUCCGAUUUGGCCGAAUUGUCCGUCCUAGUGAGGGACCAUGCCUAGCGAGUCCGUAUAAGUGGUCUAGUCUUGUUUCGCAUCGAUGAGUAGGUUUGUUUGGUGUGCUCAUCCCAGUAGCUCAAAUGGACACGUUCCGGAUCAAAGUUUAGCACCGACUCUGAUUUGGCCGCAUUGUCUGUUCUAGUGAGGGACCAUGCCUAGCGAGUCCGUACAAGUGGUCUAGUCUUGUUUCGCUUCGAUGAGUAGCUUUGUUUGGUGUGCUUGUCCUAAUACCUCAAAUGGACACGUUCCGGAUAAAAGUUUUGCACCAAAUCUAAUUUGCCCGGAUUGUCCGUCCUAUCGAGUGACCAUACCUAGCGAGUCCGUACAAGUGCUCUAGUGUUGUUUCGCUUCGAUGAGUACCUCAAAUGGCACAUUCCGGGUCAAAGUUUAGCACCGACUCAAAUUUGGCCGGAUUGUUCGUCGUAGGGAGGGACCAUGCCUAACGAGUACGUACAACUGGUCUACUCUUGUUUCGCUUCGAUGAGUAGGUUUGUUUGGUGUGCUCAUCCUAGUACCUCAAAUGGACACGUUCCGGAUCAAAGUUUAGCACCGACUCUGAUUUGGCCGGAUUGUCCGUCCUAGCGAGGGACCAUGCCUAGCGAGUCCGUACAACUGGUCUACUCUUGUUUCGCUUCGAUAAGUAGGUUUGUUUGGUGUGCUCAUCCUAGUAGCUCAAAUGGACACGUUCCGGAUCAAUGUUUAGCACCGACUCUGAUUUGGCCGGAUUGUCCGUCCUAGCGAGUGACCAUGCCUAGCGAGUCCGUACAAGUGGUCUAGUCUUGUUUCGCUUCGAUGAGUAGGUUUGUUUGGUGUGCUCAUCCUAGUUCCUCAAAUGGACACGUUCUGGAUCAAAGUUUAGAACAGAUUCGGAUUUGGCCGAAUUGUCCGUCCUAGCGAGGGACCAUGCCUAGCGAUUCCGUACAAGUGUUCUACUCUUGUUUCAAUUCGAUGAGUAGCUUUGUUUGGUGUGCUCAUCCUAGUAUCUCAAAUGGAUACGUUCCGUAUCGAAGUUUAGCACCGACUCCGAUUUAGCCGGAUUGUCCGUCCUAGUUUGAUAUGGACAUGCUAACCAUGGAUACGACCUUUGGUACCCUCAAUUUUAUAAUAUUUGACAAGAUUUAUAAUCAGGUGAAUUCAGGUAGUAAUUGUUUUCAUUGUCAUAUUUAUGAAGAGGCGGAGCUACUACUAGCUUGUUUCGUUUUUUUACGUAGGCAUCUUAUCGAGCUUUUCAAGUCCAAGGUCAAGAUGAGAUACGAUGGAGGCGAACGGGAGGGCCAACAAGAAUCAAGCAUUCAUACAGCUGAGAGGGAAGGAUUUCAAGUGUACUUUCCAACAAAUCAAACGGCACAUGAUUCGGAGCUUG
rnacentral:lncRNA from 1 species